UUUCCGUCAUUGUCCGUGAACAUGGAAAGCUUAACUCGCCUUUUACCUGAAGUAGUGCUAUCUACUGUCAUGUCAUCUGCUAUUUGCACUAUUUCACUUCCUGGUUUGUAGUCAUCGGUGGUAUAACCCUUGAUUGAGGUUGUAGCAGAUUCUGAACUAACAUCAGGUUGAUAAAAAGGAUGACGAGCCAAAGCAGACAGAACAGUGUCUCGACUUGAAGCAAGAAUACCAUGAGAACAAAGAGCCAAUUCACGCUGCAAGCAGAGAACAGAAGAAAAUGAUCAUGUGACAGUGACAGAACCACCAAAAAGGCCAAAUUGGCACAUCUUAUACACAAAAACAUAGCAGCACCAGUGAUAUACUUCUGUUGGAAGGAAAACUAGAAAGACAAGACAAAAGAUCAGUAUGGGGGAAGACAAUCAAGGUGGAGGCUCACUUUCAAUUUCUCUCGUUUGACAAUUCUUUCACAUAGAAGACGCAAUCUUUCCAAUUCAACCUGCAUAAAAUAAUCCAUAGUAUAAAGAGAACAAAUGCAUCAAAAUGAAAGAGUUCAUUGUAGCCACAAAAAGAUAACAAGCGAUAGAAUAACAUAAACCAACAUACACAGCUGAUUUGUAGUCGUUUUUAAAACAACAGAGCCAGCCAACCAAGAAAAUAAAACAAAGAAUAAGCAGGUAAAAGAUAGGUCUAUUUAAAUAAGAUGAAAGGCCAUAGAAACUGCCAUCCAUAAGAACACAACAAAUAACAUUGACAACUAAAUUAUUAACGACAGACACAAGAAAAACCGGCACAUUCAAUCUCUUCAUGGUCUAGAAACUCCAAACAAGAAGAGUAAUAUCAAUACUGUUAAUGCGUUCACAAGAUUAACAAAAAAAGGGGGAACGUACAGAUUUGGAUUCCGUCAAUAGAGAUUAAGAAUGCAUAAAAGAAAAAAGAUACAUGCACCUCCCUGAGGGUCAAUUGAAGGUAGACAAACGAAGGUUCUGAAAAUAACAUUGUCCUCCCCUCAGUGUUGAGAUGGAAUUAAAAAAAAAAUUCCAAAACAAUUCAUAAACCCUCUACCCUUUGCAUAAAAAGACCAAAAAAUCAAAAAAAAAAAAAAAGAGAGAGAGAAAAAGAACCACCAAUCUUUAUCUCCAAAGAUGAAAAAUUCAUACUCCCACCAAGCUAACUGCAACUGCUAUUGUCAUUUUUUUACCUUGUGCAGAAUCUUCAUAAUAAAUAUUGACAUUGUAAAGACAUGACCCAAUUGCAAAAGGAAACCCUAUCUUCUUCCUCUCAAUCUCCAUAAUUUCAAUCCAUGAUCUUCAUCAUGACGGGUUUGUGCCACCACUGCCAUUACAUAAACAAGCUUGAAGACCUGAAGCAGCACGGCAAUACCUUCCCACAGAUUUAUACAAUUACAAGCAUAGCUUCAAUUGCCUUUUCCAGCAAGGAAAAUAAAGAAACAAAAAUUUCGGUAAAAAGCAACCUAACUAGAGCAAAUUGAGAUACAUGCAAUGGCAAUACUUCCCUAACCCACUGUACAGUGUACGUCCUCAGACAACGCAUGUACAACAUUCCCCGUCAAGACGAGGGAGGCCAGCCAUUCUCGAGCACAGUACAUGUUAGUGCCAAGAAAGAGAACAUUCCACAAUGGGAAUUUCCCAACAUCCAGAAAUGCAUCUGGGAUUUCAAAGAAUCGAGCUAUCCAUUUUGUUCAACUGGUUCCUGCGAACUCAAAUCUGGAGUUGUCUCCUUGUCCUUAGGAAGGGACCGAAUUGGAACAUAAACAAAUCCUUUAGGUAGCCGCUGAUUCUUCAUAGAUGCUUGAUCUGAUGUCAUCACCAACUCUUUUGCCAAAGUUUCAGUAUGCUGCAUUAUUUAAAGUACUAGCAAUUGACUAUGAUGCUUAAAAGAAAGAAGAGAAAACUCAAAUCACAACCCCCUCACAAACAAACACUUACUUUUCUAUAUUUUGAACGCUUUUCCGUGUCAUCCGAAACAUUCCUUGAUGCAACAGAAAGUCUCUGCGGAAUUUGCUUCCCAGAAAAUGAAAUCCUCUCAAUAGGCUUUGGCGUCGAAAGGUUUUGGGAUGUAGAACUGUCAUCUGUUUUUCCGUCAUUGUCCGUGAACAUGGAAAGCUUAACUCGCCUUUUACCUGAAGUAGUGCUAUCUACUGUCAUGUCAUCUGCUAUUUGCACUAUUUCACUUCCUGGUUUGUAGUCAUCGGUGGUAUAACCCUUGAUUGAGGUUGUAGCAGAUUCUGAACUAACAUCAGGUUGAUAAAAAGGAUGACGAGCCAAAGCAGACAGAACAGUGUCUCGACUUGAAGCAAGAAUACCAUGAGAACAAAGAGCCAAUUCACGCUGCAAGCAGAGAACAGAAGAAAAUGAUCAUGUGACAGUGACAGAACCACCAAAAAGGCCAAAUUGGCACAUCUUAUACACAAAAACAUAGCAGCACCAGUGAUAUACUUCUGUUGGAAGGAAAACUAGAAAGACAAGACAAAAGAUCAGUAUGGGGGAAGACAAUCAAGGUGGAGGCUCACUUUCAAUUUCUCUCGUUUGACAAUUCUUUCACAUAGAAGACGCAAUCUUUCCAAUUCAACCUGCAUAAAAUAAUCCAUAGUAUAAAGAGAACAAAUGCAUCAAAAUGAAAGAGUUCAUUGUAGCCACAAAAAGAUAACAAGCGAUAGAAUAACAUAAACCAACAUACACAGCUGAUUUGUAGUCGUUUUUAAAACAACAGAGCCAGCCAACCAAGAAAAUAAAACAAAGAAUAAGCAGGUAAAAGAUAGGUCUAUUUAAAUAAGAUGAAAGGCCAUAGAAACUGCCAUCCAUAAGAACACAACAAAUAACAUUGACAACUAAAUUAUUAACGACAGACACAAGAAAAACCGGCACAUUCAAUCUCUUCAUGGUCUAGAAACUCCAAACAAGAAGAGUAAUAUCAAUACUGUUAAUGCGUUCACAAGAUUAACAAAAAAAGGGGGAACGUACAGAUUUGGAUUCCGUCAAUAGAGAUUAAGAAUGCAUAAAAGAAAAAAGAUACAUGCACCUCCCUGAGGGUCAAUUGAAGGUAGACAAACGAAGGUUCUGAAAAUAACAUUGUCCUCCCCUCAGUGUUGAGAUGGAAUUAAAAAAAAAAUUCCAAAACAAUUCAUAAACCCUCUACCCUUUGCAUAAAAAGACCAAAAAAUCAAAAAAAAAAAAAAAGAGAGAGAGAAAAAGAACCACCAAUCUUUAUCUCCAAAGAUGAAAAAUUCAUACUCCCACCAAGCUAACUGCAACUGCUAUUGUCAUUUUUUUACCUUGUGCAGAAUCUUCAUAAUAAAUAUUGACAUUGUAAAGACAUGACCCAACUGCAAAAGGAAACCCUAUCUUCUUCCUCUCAAUCUCUAUAAUUUCAAUCCAUGAUCUUCAUCAUGACGGGUUUGUGCCACCACUGCCAUUACAUAAACAAG
rnacentral:lncRNA from 1 species